UUUGGAAGCUUCUCGUCCCGACAGAGUAUUAGUUUGGAUUGACACAUUACAUACUUCAGGCCAGAGCAGGCGAGAAGUUGGGCCAAGAUCUUCACAUUACACCCUUUCAUCCCUAUAACCAGAUGAGAUGUGUAGCACUAGCCCCAUUUUCCAGUCCAUAUGAUGAGAGAGGGUUCAAGAGAAAUAUGAUCAAGCAAGUUGGAGAUGACUAAAUGAUGAAGUCAGCAUUUUUAACUCGCCUUAUAUGUUUUCUCAUGUAAAAAAAUGUGCAAUUAUUUGUCAUCAGUAAAAGGUUCUUGAUCCAUGCUAGAACACUGGUAGAAUAUAAAUCAUCUGAGCAUUUAAAGUUCCAAGCUAUGUGAUCAUAUUAACAUGGAUUUUAAUUUUAAUAA